rnacentral:misc_RNA from 1 species
CACACAAUCCUUAUGUGCAGUUAAAUCUUCUCUUCUUUUAGGAAGUAGGUGGUGAGGGAGGCUCAAAAUAAAAAAAUAAGUGUGGAUCUGAAAUAGACCAGCUCGAGUUUCAGACUUCAGUAUAUCGUGUAUGCAAAUAUGGAAGACGGCACAUAGAACGUGGCUUGCAUAGCGCUGAUUGAUGAGGCUAACUCUGUUCCUGACAGACCCGGAAUCACAAAGGCAGGAAUGGUAAAGAAGGUAUAGAUACCUACCAGGUCAGGAGGUAUUUGAGAAGUUUAAGUUGAUUAUGAAUAUUUCUCAUUUAAUGCCUACUCAAAAAAUCAGGGUGUAUUUCCAGAUGUCCUGAAGAAGAGCAUAGUUAAACCGAUUCCAAAAACUGAGAACUGGCGAGUCUUAACGAUCUUGGACCUAUCAGCAUACUACCGGCUAUGUCAAAAGUUAUUGAAAAAUUAAUCUUCGAACAAAUUAGUGACUUCUCAAAAAAAUUUAAAAUAAUUCCAAGCUGUCAGUCGGGCUUUAGAAAGCAGUUUAGUACGUCAUCGUGUUUGGUCCAAGUCCUUAACGACAUUAAACAUAAUGAGGACUAAAAGUCAUCGACACUUCUUACAUUGCUUGACUUUAGUAAAGCAUUUGACACCUUGGAUCACAAAAUGAUGCUUGCGACACUACAGUACUAUAAUUUUUUCCAACCCGUAAUAAACUUUUUUUAAAAUUUCUUGCCUAAUAGAGCAUGUUGUGUGUCAAUUGCAACCGAAUCCGGGGUAAACAAUCAAAGUAUGAACCAAUAACAAAAGGCGUUCCACAAGGAUCAAUUCUAUCUCCACUUUUAUUUUCUAUUUAUGUAGCAGACAUGCAUAGUUGUCUUUUUUAUAGCACACUACAACAAUAUGCAUACAAUUCGCAACUUUAUAUGGCAAUUAAUAGUGAAGAUCUGACAGAGUGUAAUCUUAAAAUAAAUCAAGAUUUAAAGAGAAUAUUUAUUUAUUCCAAUGAUCAUAAUCUUAACAUCAAUGCUACGAAAUCCAGGCAAUUCUUAUAAGCCAAAGUAAACAAGCAAUGGAGCACCUGAAAAAGAAUAUGUCAAUUAUCUUAAAUAACGAACCCAUUUCUUUUAAAUCGGAAGCAAAAAACCUGGGCAUAAUUAUUAAAGAAUUAACAAAAUUCUAAACACACAUCGACAAUAAAUUAAAAGCAGCCUACUAUCGCUUAAAAAUGUAUAUCACCUAAAAAACUGUCUACCCUUAAAAAUUAAAUACUUUUUUUGAAUUUUAUCAUUUUUUGAUUACAGAGAUGUGGUAUACUCUAUAACAAGUUUAUAUAAAAAAAUCAGUAAUUACAAAACACAUGCAUGAGAUUCUCUUUUAAUAUCCACUAUAGAGAUCAUUUAACUUCACAUCUAAAUAAUAACAAAAUUUUCACCAUGGAGAAUAGAAGAAAGCUUCAUUCGUACUGCUUUGUCUGAUAAUCAAAUACAAUAAAAUAUUUUACAUUAAAUAUUCAGGUUCGUAAUAACUAAUAUGUAAACGUGUGUACAUUUUUGUUUUAUUCUUGUCUUUGGUUUUUCUUUUGUUUUUUUUUACCAAUAAAAAUGCACACAUUCACUUUUUGACUGCAUUCACUUUUUGGCUGGCAUCCUGAAUGGAAAUGCGCACUUGAUUAUAAAUGAGACCCAUUCUCCUACGCAACUCACUGACGUAGUGCCGCAACAUCUAUUCCUGGCGGGCAACCAAUCUUCAGAUCGCAUGGGCGACGGAGUUCUCUUCCCAUCACUAUCCGAGCCAAAAACUCUCCUGUGCUUUCAUAAAUGGCCGAUCGAUAAACCAAAUGAAGAAACCUAAACCAGUUCUUUGGUGCCUAGAGACUAGUUCCGCCAAGUACCGAUUAAUAGUCCUAUUGAAUUGCUCCCAAUGCCAUCUGACUGCAUGGCGGAAUGCAGUAGUUUUCUUGACUCCAAGCGUUUUACAGAUGUGCUGGAACAGGUAGAUUCAAAAUUACGUCCUUGGUCUGAAUGUAACUCCAAAAGUACACCAAAUCGCCAAAUCCGUUUUUUUAUGAAGAGGUCGGCGAUAGUAGAGGCUGCAUUGUUUGCUGGAGGGUAUGCCCCAACCCAUUCGCAUCAGGAGCAGGAUGUGCCCUGCUUUUUGCUUCAUUAAUUCUGCUUCAGCUCCCACAGAAUGCUUUAUGGUCCUAGAAUAUCAAGUCAUUAUUUCUACCCAUAGCAAAAUGGCAGCCUUAAUUUAACUUAACUUAAGUAGUAACACAGAAAUGUAACUAUUUCACUACACAAGAUGUUGAAAUAGUACACCAUUAACUUCAAGACAGUAAAAUAUUCUACUGGAGAACUCUUCACGAAUAUUUUCGAAAGUGGAAACAUCAACAUUGGGACAUGCAUCAAUUAUUUUUUGAAGUAGAUCGAUGAAGAUAGAUUCUGGCUGGGUGACGUAGACUUUUUGUUUCAAGUAGCACCAUGAAAAGAAGUCCAGAGGUUUAAGAUCGGGCGACCUGGCUGGCCACUCGGUUGACCCUCGACGACCAAUCCACGGAUUAGGGUCAGUAUUAGUAAAAUAUUUUCAUUUCUGCUAAAGUGAGGCGGUGCCUCAUCUUGUGGAAAAAAUGUUUCCAACUUAAAUUCAUGGGGAUUGUUUAAUAAUUUAAGGAUCUGUGGUUCUACUGAAUUUUCCAACAUGUUUAAGUAAAGGUUCCCUGCCAAAUUUUGGUCUAAAAAGAUAGGUCCAACAAUGUGACAAUUCAUGAAAUAUGUGGCGAUUUACGUCGCUCCAAUAACGAACAUUUUGUCUAUGUACAUUACCAUUCAAAAAAAGAGUAUAUUCAUCACUGAAACAAAUGUUCUUCACAUAAACAGGCUGAUGGUCUAUUCUCUCGGUCAAUACUUGGCAUCAGGAUCCUCUUCUGUCAAUUGAUAAACCAUUUGAAUUUUAUACAGAUGAAAUUUAUGUUUUUUAAGUGUCAUUUUUACAGUAGUAGAAGAUACAUCACAUGUGUUUGUGGAAUCCAACUGUGGGAGGAGACUGUUGUGGAUAGCUGGGAUACCCUGAAUCUCUUUCUCCUACCAACACUACCCGUCUCGGUAAAUUUCUGAAUUAGCUCGCGAAUAUACUUUCGACAUACUGGACAGUCAGGAAAGCGAACAUUAAAAAUUCUUUCCGUCUCAUGUACAAUGUACAUUGCGCUUUCCACCGUAAAUAAAAAUAAUUUCAAUAUUUUCAAUAAGGGGACGUGGACAUUUUCGAUUAAAUCAAAGUAUAAAUAGAAUUGCACUGAACGAAAUAGCAAAAAUAUUUUCUACUUUCGUUCUUAUUCGCUUUUAAUUAUAUAGGUAAACUAAAUAAGUUUUGUGUGGAACCGUAACAUUUAUGAUAAUAAUCUAAUAUUGACAUUGACAAUAAAUACAAACUCUACAAAUAAAUUACACCUGAACAGGUGUACUAAAGAAAAUAAACAUGCGAAAAUAAGAUUUUGAAAGGCUGCCAUUUUGCUAUGGGUAGAAGUAAUGCUUUAGAAGAUAGAAGAAUGGCCUUGAUGAUUUAAAAAUCUCGAGCCGAUCCGAGACGAGGAGACGGAACGUGAAGAAGAAGAAACAAAAUCUGUAUUAUUGCCUAGAAGUUAACGGUGGCCAUUUUCAGCAUUUGUUGGAUUAGUAUAUAUGUAUGAUUGUUAAUAGUUUGGUAUUGUGAAUUAAUAGUUUGACAAAGAAUUGCGAUUAUUUUCCAGAAAACUGUAUUAAAUGUUAAUAUAGUCAAUCGUUUGAGAACCACUGAAGUAAAAUCAUUUAAACUAGUUAUAGCUGUAAAGAGAAUCGAAAGGCCUUUCAAACAAGGUAUAACUCGACCCACAAGUCCAUUUAAAGUCCUUUAAUCUUGCUUCUUUAUCAGUUGACUGAAGACCGAAUAUGCGUAGAUUUUUACUGCGGCACUGUUGUUCCAAGCAUCCGAUGAAAUGGCUAGGUGCUUGUUUUCCGCAAAUAUUUUAGUUAGUUUUUCCUCUAAGGAGGAAAUUCUUUUUUCUUGUUCUCGCUGGCAGCUUUCAAGCUUUCUUUCGAGUAUUUCAAAUACUUUAGUGGCUACCUCUUCAAGAAAUUUCUCGGUAAAUACGCUACUUAUGAUGGACUUAACUUCUCGCGCAUCCACACUUGACAGAACCAUGUUUACUAGGUAGUACUUAGAUAAUACAUUAUGAUAUAUUUAAUGGUAUAUUUUUACUAAAAGAAACUGCUAAUUUGGGCAAACAAUUACUAGGACACACACUGCGAUGUUAGAGCUCACCCCCAAAACUACAGAGCCGCAAUUAAUUCUUCACUUAAUUCUUACUUUAUUUUAUAAAAAUUAUAGAGCGAUAUUAAUCUGUUGUCUACAACAACAUCGCCAUCUUGGAAUAUGGUCGAGAAGGUCGGAAGACUCGAUUAAAGUGGUCAAUUUAAUUCAUUCUUAUAAUGAUAGUUGGCAAUUAACUAUAACAUUUUAAUACAUCAUUCCUCUUACAUAAAUAAUAUUUUUUUUAAAACAUGAUGGGCGACGGCCGAAAGCGCUAUAUAGUUUUGAAUAUCCCCAUAGUUACAUACGGCGUACAACUGACGAAGUCUCUAUGAGAGAACAGCUUAUAAAGGGUUCCUUCCAAAGCUUACUUUUUUCGAGACAAAACUGGUUUUUUAGAUUAGGCAUAUUCUUUUAAACUUCGGACCAACAGGUUUGCUUUCUUUCUGGAUGUUUUUUGAGAUAGGUGCUGCUGUAUCCACAGUAUUUUUGGGGCGCAAAAUGUAAAUACAUAUACAUAUCUAAACUUUUCCUGGUCAGUAAGUUAUUUCAAGGAUAAUAAUACAAUAUUAACUAUUCAACAGCAAUACAAAAUUGACUAUUUAAUAAUAAAAAUAAAAUAUUACUGGAAAAAGCAACAACUCCAUGAUCACAGUAAGAACACCAGGUCAGAUGUGAUAUGAUGUUCAGUGACAGUGAUCUAAAAGUGUCAAAGUAUCUAAAAAAAAAUAAAAUGCAAAAAGCACAUUUUUAGUAUCAAGAAAAUCUGACACAUUCUUGAAUUUAUAAUAAAAAGUCAGAUAUCGGGCGCAUUUUUAUUAAUAAUUAAACUUUUUUUGUUUAUUUUAAAGCUUAAAUUUAAAAGAGUAUGUGUUGUUUUCACUUUAAUAAACAGCCAAAUUACCUUUUAGAUUUUUUUUAGGGAUUUAAAUGUUUAUUUUUAUAAUAUUUAAUUUAAAAUAACAAGUUCUUUAAAUUUAUUGUACUACUUUCUAUAAAAUAUAAGAUUAGCGCACGCCAUUGAACCGGCCAUAUUUUUCUCGUGAUUGAAAACCGCAGACGCAGGUAUCAACCACCUAUUAGGUAUUGGUACUAUAAGCCAAUAAAAGAUUCGUUACUCCUAUA